CCUUCCCAGACAGCAGAGGUGUUCCAGACGCCAUUGGCCAUCCUUCAGUGAAGGUUCCCAUCUUUUUGUUCCUGAUCACUUCUUUACUUUCUCGCAUUACAAGAUGUCCAGGCUCAUCUUGGUAUUUUCCCUGCCUCAGCCCUAUAAUCAGCCAUUUCUCCAGAUGAGAACAUAGAGACACAGAGAGCUCAAGUGAUUUGCCCAGGGUUCCACAGCUAGGAAAUGGCAGAGCCGGA